rnacentral:rRNA from 1 species
AUUGAACGCUGGCGGCAUGCCUUACACAUGCAAGUCGAACGGCAGCACGGGAGCAAUCCUGGUGGCGAGUGGCGAACGGGUGAGUAAUACAUCGGAACGUGCCCUGUAGUGGGGGAUAACCCGGCGAAAGCCGGACUAAUACCGCAUACGACCUACGGGUGAAAGCAGGGGAUCGCAAGACCUUGCGCUAUCGGAGCGGCCGAUGUCAGAUUAGCUAGUUGGUGGGGUAAAAGCCCACCAAGGCGACGAUCUGUAGCUGGUCUGAGAGGACGACCAGCCACACUGGGACUGAGACACGGCCCAGACUCCUACGGGAGGCAGCAGUGGGGAAUUUUGGACAAUGGGCGCAAGCCUGAUCCAGCCAUGCCGCGUGCGGGAAGAAGGCCU